AGCAGCCGCGGUAAUUCCAGCUCCAAUAGCGUAUAUUAAAGUUGCUGCAGUUAAAAAGCUCGUAGUUGAAUUUCGGGACUAAUAUGUCGGUCGUGCCUCGGUACGCACUGGCUUAUUGGUUUCUCCUUUCUGAAGAACCAUGAUGUCAUUAAUUUGGUGUCUUGGGGAAUCAGGACUGUUACUUUGAAAAAUUAGAGUGUUUAAAGCAGGCUCACGCUUGAAUACAUUAGCAUGGAAUAAUGAAAUAGGACGUUUGAUUCUAUUUUGUUGGUUUCUAGGAUCGACGUAAUGAUUAAUAGGGAUAGUUGGGGGCAUUAGUAUUCAAUUGUCAGAGUGAAAUUCUUGGAUUUAUUGAAGACUAACUACUGCGAAAGCAUUUGCCAAGGNUGUUUUCAUUAAUCAAGAACGAAAGUUAGGGGAUCGAAGACGAUCAG
rnacentral:rRNA from 1 species